rfam:Prevotella sp. oral taxon 473 str. F0040 genomic scaffold Scfld437, whole genome shotgun sequence.
ACCACACGGGAAAGUGCUACACGGCUAGCUCCUUUCAAAUCCUCCAGGGCUUGAUCGCAGCAAAGGUAGUUAGUUGUAGCAGCGCGAUGUGGUUAGCUUUCCCACCC